AUGCAGGCAUGAGUAGCGAUAAUUAAUGUGAGAAUCAUUAACGCCGUAAACCCAAGGUUUCCUACGCGAUGCUCGUCAUCGUAGGGUUAGUCGGGUCCUAAGUCGAGUCCGAAAGGGGUAGACGAUGGCAAAUUGGUUAAUAUUCCAAUACCAACAUUAGUGUGCGAUGGAAGGACGCUUAGGGCUAAGGGGGCUAGCGGAUGGAAGUGCUAGUCUAAGGUCGUAGGAGGUUAUACAGGCAAAUCCGUAUAACAUACUCCGAGAACUGAAAGGCUUUUUGAAGUCUUCGGAUGGAUAGAAGAACCCCUGAUGCCGUCGAGCCAAGAAAAGUUUCUAAGUUUAGCUAAUGUUGCCCGUACCGUAAACCGACACAGGUGGGUGGGAUGAGUAUUCUAAGGCGCGUGGAAGAACUCUCUUUAAGGAACUCUGCAAAAUAGCACCGUAUCUUCGGUAUAAGGUGUGGUUAGCUUCGUACUAGGAUUUACUCCGAAAGCGAAGAAACUUACAACAAAGAGUCCCUCCCGACUGUUUACCAAAAACACAGCACUCUGCUAACUCGUAAGAGGAUGUAUAGGGUGUGACGCCUGCCCGGUGCUCGAAGGUUAAUUGAUGGGGUUAGCAUUAGCGAAGCUCUUGAUCGAAGCCCGAGUAAACGGCGGCCGUAACUAUAACGGUCCUAAGGUAGCGAAAUUCCUUGUCGGUUAAAUACCGACCUGCAUGAAUGGCGUAACGAGAUGGGAGCUGUCUCAAAGAGGGAUCCAGUGAAAUUGUAGUGGAGGUGAAAAUUCCUCCUACCCGCGGCAAGACGGAAAGACCCCGUGGACCUUUACUACAGCUUGACACUGCUAUUUGGAUAAGAAUGUGCAGGAUAGGUGGGAGGCUUUGAGUAUAUGACGCUAGUUGUAUAGGAGCCAUUGUUGAGAUACCACUCUUUCUUAUUUGGGUAGCUAACCAGCUUGAGUUAUCCUCAAGUGGGACAAUGUCUGGUGGGUAGUUUGACUGGGGCGGUCGCCUCCCAAAUAAUAACGGAGGCUUACAAAGGUUGGCUCAGAACGGUUGGAAAUCGUUCGUAGAGUAUAAAGGUAUAAGCCAGCUUAACUGCAAGACAUACAAGUCAAGCAGAGACGAAAGUCGGUCUUAGUGAUCCGGUGGUUCUGUGUGGAAGGGCCAUCGCUCAAAGGAUAAAAGGUACCCCGGGGAUAACAGGCUGAUCUCCCCCAAGAGCUCACAUCGACGGGGAGGUUUGGCACCUCGAUGUCGGCUCAUCGCAUCCUGGGGCUGGAGCAGGUCCCAAGGGUAUGGCUGUUCGCCAUUUAAAGCGGUACGCGAGCUGGGUUCAGAACGUCGUGAGACAGUUCGGUCCCUAUCUGCCGUGGGCGUAAGAAGAUUGAAGAGAUUUGACCCUAGUACGAGAGGACCGGGUUGAACAAACCACUGGUGUAGCUGUUGUUCUGCCAAGAGCAUCGCAGCGUAGCUAAGUUUGGAAAGGAUAAACGCUGAAAGCAUCUAAGCGUGAAGCCAACUCUAAGAUGAAUCUUCUCUAAGCUCUCUAGAAGACUACUAGUUUGAUAGGCUGGGUGUGUAAUGGAUGAAAGUCUUUUAGCUGACCAGUACUAAUAGAGCGUUUGGCUUAUCUUU
rnacentral:rRNA from 1 species